ACGAACGCUGGCGGCUGCUUAACACAUGCAAGUCGAACGGAGUGGCGAACGGGUGAGUAACGCGUGAGCAACCUGCCUAUGACAGUGGGAUAGCCUCGGGAAACCGGGAUUAAUACCGCAUAGUCAUAGAUGGGCUCGCGUGUUAUUAGCUAGUUGUUGAGAUAACAGCCCACCAAGGCGAAGAUCAGUAGCCGGUCUGAGAGGAGGAACGGCCACAUUGGAACUGGGACACGGUCCAAACUCCUACGGGAGGCAGCAGUGGGGAAUCUUGCACAAGUGGGUAAACCCUGAUGCAGCGACGCCGCGUGAACGAAGAAGGUAUUCGUAUCGUAAAGUUCUGUCCUAUGGGAAGCGGUACCAUAGAAGAAAGCUCCGGCUAACUCCGUGCCAGCAGCCGCGGUAAUAC
rnacentral:rRNA from 1 species